AUAUUGUCGCGCUUUCAAGAGGCCACACUCUGGUAUAUUUAUCACCAUUUGAUGGGACAUGAAGUCGAGAUGCAGGUGGUUUGAAAUACUUUGCCUCGUCGAUUUGGCGCUCCAGGUCUUCCAGAGUUGAAUGCAUCUCAGCUACAAUAAUCGGGCAAUUAUGGAGGCUGCUCAAGUACUGCUUUAUUUCGGAGUUGAACAAAUCAUCUAUGUUUCUGAAAUGACGCACUGCUAAAUAAAGGUCUAUUCUCCGAAGACUGCGCCUUAUGCUAGUGAGGAAAAUGAUGUGGUUCGUGAGCAAUGGGCUAAGUUUUAUACCAGCAUGUAUUUAUUAUUGAUCUGAGGGCGCUUGAUCGAGUUGGUUUAGAUGUUAUAGAA